AGACAAAGAAGGACACUAUAUGUUAAUAAAAGGUUCAAUACAACAAGAAGACAUAACAAUUAUAAACAUUUAUGUAACUAAUAAGAGACCACC